rnacentral:rRNA from 1 species
AGUUCGGACUGGAGUCUGCAACCCGACUCCACGAAGUUGGAUUCGCUAGUAAUCGCGCAUCAGCCAUGGCGCGGUGAAUACGUUCCCGGGCCUUGUACACACCGCCCGUCAAGCCAUGGAAGCCGGGAGUACCUGAAGAUCGUGACCGCGAGGAACGGGCUAGGGUAAUACCGGUAACUGGGGCUAAGUCGUAACAAGGUAUC